CCUCGAGGGAGCGGGAACCCAGCCACUUCCUCUCCUCACUUUCUCUUCGUUUUCUCAUGAGUGUGGGAGCUCCUGGGGCCUCACCCUGCGCCCUCCCCGCUAGGUGUCUGCACAGCCCUGGGCAGCCGCAGCCCCACCUCUACCCCCGUAACUCUGCAUCCUGCUGCAGCCUUUCUCUUAGGCCGCAGGUGCCUCUUUCCUGCAUCUCUACCCAGACCACUCACCUGCACAAGCAGAGGUUUUCGCCCAACCUCACACCAGACUCCUCACCUUUCCUGCCCAGACAGCUGCGUCUUGACAGGUGCCCCUGCCCCAGGCUGCGUGACCCCAGCCGUCGUCAGGGAUCCUCCCCAGGGACGUGCUUAAGCCACGUCCUCUGCUCAGCAAGCCGCAGUCCCCCAGUUCCUCCAAGGGGAACUUUGUGUGGUUCGUGGGAAGCAGGUGGACCCGUGCCCACUGAGAACAGCGAUGGUCAGAAGGUCUGGAGUCAGGCCCAGGCCCCGGGCCAGCUGGGCCAGGUUUAGCUCUGGGUAAGUGACUGGCCACCUCUCCAGCCCGAGACACGGGAAUGAGGGCGCUCGCCCCGCAGGGCCGUGGUGAGGGUUCAUCCAGAAGCCGGCUGAGUGUGGGAUCUCAUCAGGUUCAGUAAAUGACAGCGACAGUGAUUAUCCAGCCUCCUGAGGAGGGGCCGGCGCCCUGCCUCCACCCCACCCUGCCCC